UUUGGUAAGAAUUCCAAAGUCUGCAGAAAAGACAACGUAUUUUAAUUUUAAGAUAUGCAUCUUGGCUUUUCUACAAAGUCUGGUAUAAUAGGAUUUCAAUACACCCAUAUGAUACAAGGUCUUCUUUUGAGAUUAUUAUCCAUUCUUCAUCAUCAUCACUGUCUAUAUCAAUAACAGAGACUUAUCAAAUUGUGGGAACAAUAUUUAUGCUACUUAUCAGUAUUUUUAUUUCAUUAGAAUCUUAAUAUUUCCACUAUAUACUUAGUGGGAGGAGCUUUAUACCAGAAUAUCUUCAUAUUCUUUGAGUAUUCCUUGUUUGCAGAGCCAUGUCAAGCAAUUCAAAUUUUAUUUUCAACAUGUAAAGAGGCAAUAUAAGAUAAAUAUCCAGAUACAGAGUGAUAAAAUGAGAUAAACAGAAAGGGGGCAAAAACUGGGGGUCAGUUUGGAUGAACUACAAAAUCAUAAAUUCAUAAUAUUUCAUAAUUUUAAUGUAUUUUGAAAUUAAAAGUUAUGAUGUUUCCCUAAAAAAGUCAUCAUUUACAAUAUUAGGUGUCAUGUUCCAUGAAAUUUCAUAAAAGCUCUUAACUAAAAUUGGAACUUUCUAUUCUGAAUAGAAUGUUCCUGGUUCAUGUUCUCUUGCCUGAUGAUCUUCCAUUUUUUCUCUCUUUUGAGCCUUCUAUUUCUAACAAUAAAACAUCUACCUCCAAGAAAAAGCUCAAACAUCAAUUCAAGGAAAAAAAAGAAAGUCAUUACUUUGAAAUUAAAAAUUGCCGAACAGCUUUGGAGAGUUACUGUGAAGGAGAAAGCUCACUGGCACCUAAAUUUGGAAUUUUAGCUUGGAAAUUGAUGGUGCAAGAGCAGGCAGCUAGAACAUUGAAUUGACCCCCCCUUUUUCUUUUAUAAUUGGAGCUGAUCUGAAAAGCACCCAAACCAAUCCGUUAUGCUCAGAUUGAAAAGUUUGGC
rnacentral:lncRNA from 1 species